GAUGAAGAACGUAGCGAAAUGCGAUAAGUAAUGUGAAUUGCAGAAUUCAGUGAAUCAUCGAAUCUUUGAACGCACCUUGCGCUCCUUGGUAUUCCGAGGAGCAUGCCUGUUUGAGUGUCAUUAAUAUAUCAACCUCUUCAGCUUAUGCUUGUUGAGUGUUGGAUGGUGGGGGUUUGCUGGUGUCUUAUGAAGUCAGCUCCUCUGAAAUGCAUUAGCGGAACAAUUUGUUGACCGUUCAUUGGUGUGAUAAAAAUAUCUACGCUAUUGACGUCAGUCAGUUCAGCUUCUAACAGUCCAUUGACUUGGACAAAUUUUUCAUUAAUGUGACCUCAAAUCAGGUAGGACUACCCGCUGAACUUAAGCAUAUCAAUAAGGCGGAGGA
rnacentral:misc_RNA from 1 species